UGUCGUGGGGGAUAACUAGUCGAAAGAUAGCUAAUACCGCAUACGACCUGAGGGUGAAAGCGGGGGACCGUAAGGCCUCGCGCGAUAGGAGCGGCCGAUGUCUGAUUAGCUAGUUGGUGGGGUAAAGGCCCACCAAGGCGACGAUCAGUAGCUGGUCUGAGAGGACGAUCAGCCACACUGGGACUGAGACACGGCCCAGACUCCUACGGGAGGCAGCAGUGGGGAAUUUUGGACAAUGGGGGCAACCCUGAUCCAGCAAUGCCGCGUGUGUGAAGAAGGCCUUCGGGUUGUAAAGCACUUUUGUCCGGAAAGAAAUCCCUUGCCCUAAUACGGCGGGGGGAUGACGGUACCGGAAGAAUAAGCACCGGCUAACUACGUGCCAGCAGCCGCGGUAAUACGUAGGGUGCGAGCAGUUAAU
rnacentral:rRNA from 1 species